rnacentral:rRNA from 1 species
UAAGGAAUAUUGGACAAUGGAGGCAACUCUGAUCCAGCCAUGCCGCGUGAAGGAAUAAGGCCCUAUGGGUUGUAAACUUCUUUUAGACGGGACGAAACCCCUCUACGUGUAAAGGGUUGAUGGUACUGUCAGAAUAAGCAUCGGCUAACUUCGUGCCAGCAGCCGCGGUAAUACGAAGGAUGCAAGCGUUAUCCGGAAUUAUUGGGUUUAAAGGGUGCGUAGGCGGACUAAUAAGUCAGUGGUGAAAGCCUGCAGCUUAACUGCAGAAUUGCCAUUGAUACUGUUAGUCUUGAGUACAGUUGAGGUAGGCGGAAUGUGUCAUGUAGCGGUGAAAUGCUUAGAUAUGACACAGAACACCGAUUGCGAAGGCAGCUUGCUAAGCUGUAACUGACGCUGAGGCACGAAAGCGUGGGGAGCAAACA